rnacentral:tmRNA from 1 species
GGUCUUGCCGGUCCCCGGAACACAGCCUAUAUCAGGCGUGCCGGAGGGCUUGCCCUUGGCUAUGGCGAUAAACGGUAUGUGGAAUAAUCGUUGCGGACCCGGGGGCAGUGCCCGGCGUCUCCACCAGUCAAGCCGCGUCAGCGGGGCGGCCAUGCGGGGACGAAACAGGCUCGACGCGCGUGGUAAAGACAUAUCUUUUGCCCGGCAUUGUACCACCGUCAUCGGGCUAAAUCACAAGUGCCAAUGAUAACUCUGAGGUGCUCGCUGUCGCUGCAUAAGUGACAAGCGCGGUUCGGGAGGCACCGGGCAACAGAAGCCCUCCCACC